rnacentral:lncRNA from 11 species
CCCAUUGGUCUCAGAGGGUGCUGGCUAGCACCCGCAACCUCAUUGGAGUAGGUGUGAGUGUGUUUCUGCCACUGAGGCUACCAGAGGAUAUCUGUUAAGUGAACAUCAGCAUAGCCAAUGGGGAGCUGAACUAUGUGGAAGACCAAAGGUGGAAAACCAUGGCUCUCACCUCUGUUGGAGAGGAGCAAUAGUCAUCUCCUUGUACCACUUCUAAACAAGAAUAUCAGCGAGGGAUGAUCAGCUUCAGCCCAUCUGGACAGAAUGGCCUGUUUACGAGUCAACACAUUCCUCUGCCAUUGUCAAGCUGAUCUCCUUUCUCUACCUAAGUUCUCACUCCCUUUCCUUGCUGAGUUCUUGCUUUUGUGUUUGUAAGCCUAUGGGCUACGUGCCCAGUCCUGAGUUGAGAAUUCAAGCAGAAGCCCACUCCAUGCAAAACCAACAGCUGCCCUCAAGGUUUACCCAGAG